rnacentral:rRNA from 1 species
UGAGGAAUUUUGCUCAAUGGGCGCAAGCCUGAAGCAGCGACGCCGCGUGAACGAUGAAGUCUUUCGGGAUGUAAAGUUCUGUCAGCAGGGAAAAUAAUGAUGGUACCUGCAGAGGAAGCACCGGCAAACUAUGUGCCAGCAGCCGCGGUAAUACAUAGGGUGCGAGCGUUGUCCGGAUUUACUGGGCGUAAAGAGCGUGUAGGUGGUGAGAUAAGUCAAGUUUUAAAUUCUUCUGGCUUAACCGGAGAUCGGACUUGAUACUGUCUUGCUGGAGAUUGGGAGAGGAAAGCGGAACUAACAGUGUAGCGGUGAAAUGCGUAGAUAUUGUUAGGAACACCCGUGGCGAAGGCGGCUUUCUGGACCAAUUCUGACACUGAGACGCGAAAGCAUGGGGAGCAAACAGG